rnacentral:rRNA from 1 species
UACGGGGGGAGCAAGCGUUGUUCGGAUUACUGGGCGUAAAGAGCUCGUAGGCGGCUUGUCACGUCGGAUGUGAAAGCCCGAGGCUUAACCUCGGGUCUGCAUUCGAUACGGGCUAGCUAGAGUGUGGUAGGGGAGAUCGGAAUUCCUGGUGUAGCGGUGAAUGCGCAGAUAUCAGGAGGAACACCGGUGGCGAAGGCGGGUCUCUGGGCCGAUACUGACGCUGAGGAGCGAAAGCGUGGGGAGCGAACAGG